CCCCAUAUAGGCUAUUCAUUUUCUUCUAUCUUUCGUCAAAUAUAGAGAACAUAUCUAUAACUUAUAUUAAAAAUAGUCCCCUGUCUGCAAUUGAGUGUACAGAUAAGUGAUGUCUUAAAAAAGUUUGAAGGAUCAAUUGGGGCAUAAAUUGUUUUAUUGUUUACCACUCUCUUUUCGGACUUCCUGCUAAAAGGCGACCAAGUUGAAACUGAAAACCUUGUUCCUCUGCAAAGUAGGUUCUCGAUUCCUCAAAAUCAACCAACCACUUCAUCUUGCAAAUCAAAGAUUCUCGAAAAUGACUCAAGAUGUAGAGAUGAAAAGCAAGCAGCUCCUUCCAAUUCGCUUCUUCUCUUUCCAGUUUGCAACAUAAGUUCAAUCAAUCAAUAAAAAAGGGGGGAAAUGAAGAGAUGGAUUGAAAAACAAAGCAGAAGCCUUUACACCUAACGGCGAAAAAAAUUAAAAGGGAGAAAGGGGAAGGAGACAGAGAAAGGGAAAGAGAAGAAGGAAGCAAAAAAAAAAAUCUAGAAAGAGAAGAAACUUCCUAGGUAACAGUGUAUUUUUCAUGCAUUAUUUUUUUUUUUAAGUUAUGCUUUUUUUUUUUUUUUUUAUUUGGGUUACUAAUUGUUGGUUGUGAAUUUAUAAAUGAACUAAUGCUAUUAUAGCGGUGGACAUUGUGUUUACUGGUGGAGGUAGCUCUUUUUCCUUUUUAAUUACGAUUUUUACAUGUCAAUACUAUUCAAAUUAUUCUCAGUUCCUGGGUUUCUAGGACUAUGUAUUACAUAACAUUGGAGGCAAUGGAUAGUGACAAGUUGAAAAUUUAUGAAGUCCAGGUGUGGUAAAAGCCUUGGAUGAAUUUCAAAAAGUUGCAGGAUUUCAAGCUUAUUGGUGAUGCCCCUGCCGUUUACACUGUCACCGCUUAAGCUAAAGCUGGGAAUCCGUACUUCAAAUUGGGUUACAACAACUUGGGAGCAUUUGCUACAAUCAGCCGCAUGCAUUUCCAGGUGUCUAACCUCCCAAUUUGGUACGUCAUGUACUUUGUGCCAUUAUGAUAUCUGUUAGAUAUAAUUAUGUACAAUUUGAAAGAAAAAAGUUCUUUGAAUUCUUGGUGGAGUUUUCAUAGUAAAGAUCGCUUUACUUCUGCUUCCGGCUUGCCAAAGUAUUCCUAUAAGUAAGUUAAUUUCUAAAUUUAGCACAGACAUUAUACUUAAGUAAAAGAAUUAAAGAAUAUCAAAACCAAUUCAUGUUUGGAGGCUUACCAAAUUCCAAUCUCUUAUUAUGUUAGAAAGUAGCCUAUGAAUUUUAGCAUAGCUCUCUUUUUAAAUUUUAUUUUACUUGAGUUGUGAAGAAAACUUGUGGUAAUUAUGACUUCCUUAUACACUUUUUAUAAAGGGGCUAUCUAAUCUUUAGAGUGGACUUGAACUGUUUCAGUUGCUACAAACCUAAUAUUUCAUCCCUAAUUGAGCUAAAUGAUCAAUGUUCAAUGUUUAUUUCCAAAAUGAGCAUUUAAUUUAUUUAUUCUGAUAUUGUGUUUAUCUUGUUUUUUAUGCUUUUCGGGGAUGUUCAGAAAACUACAUAAAAUUUUACAACUAUUUUAGGAAAAGGAUCAUUUGGUCUAGUCUAUAAAGCCACAAUGCUUAUUGGUGGAAUAGUAGUUGUAAAGGUGCUUGUUUCCAAUUCUCAUCAGGGGAGAAAGAGUUCCACAUAGAGCUCUCAAAUUUUGCACUUGCUAAAUGGGCAUCAACAUCUUCUUCACUUAUAACAUGCACAGAUGUUGCAGCAACCUUUGGGUAUAUAAUUUUCACAUCCAGUGCUCUAGCUUACUGGUUUUUAAUUGUAUUCUUUCUUCCUGGUGCUUUUGGUUACAAUGAAAGAUACAAGGUUCACUACAGGUAGCAAAGGCCUUAGAUUAUCUCCAUACUAUCAAAUGUUUCUUAGCCAUAGGUAUCUAUAAAUUUUAGGUUUCAAAUCUUUUUGCUUUCAAAUUUUAAAAUUUUCUAUAAAAAGAUUUUCAUGUA